rnacentral:rRNA from 1 species
AUACGUAGGGUGCAAGCGUUAAUCGGAAUUACUGGGCGUAAAGCGUGCGCAGGCGGUUUUGUAAGACAGUGGUGAAAUCCCCGGGCUCAACCUGGGAAAUGCCAUUGUGACUGCAAGGCUGGAGUGCGGCAGAGGGGGAUGGAAUUCCGCGUGUAGCAGUGAAAAGCGUAGAUAUGCGGAGGAAAACCGAUGGCGAAGGCAAUCCCCUGGGCCUGUACUGACGCUCAUGCACGAAAGCGUGGGGAGCAAACAGGAUUAGAUACCCUGGUAGUCCACGCCCUAAACGAUGUCAGCUGGUUGUUGGGUCUUCAUUGACUCAGUAACGAAGCUAACGCGUGAAGUUGACCGCCUGGGGAGUACGGCCGCAAGGUUGAAACUCAAAUGAAUUGGCGGGG